GGGGAAUUUUGGACAAUGGGCGCAAGCCUGAUCCAGCCAUGCCGCGUGUCUGAAGAAGGCCUUCGGGUUGUAAAGGACUUUUGUCAGGGAAGAAAAGGCUGUUGCUAAUAUCGACAGCUGAUGACGGUACCUGAAGAAUAAGCACCGGCUAACUACGUGCCAGCAGCCGCGGUAAUACGUAGGGUGCGAGCGUUAAUCGGAAUUACUGGGCGUAAAGCGAGCGCAGACGGUUACUUAAGCAGGAUGUGAAAUCCCCGGGCUCAACCUGGGAACUGCGUUCUGAACUGGGUGACUAGAGUGUGUCAGAGGGAGGUAGAAUUCCACGUGUAGCAGUGAAAUGCGUAGAGAUGUGGAGGAAUACCGAUGGCGAAGGCAGCCUCCUGGGAUAACACUGACGUUCAUGCUCGAAAGCGUGGGUAGCAAACAGGAUUAGAUACCCUGGUAGUCCACGCCCUAAACGAUGUCAAUUAGCUGUUGGGCAACUUGAUUGUUCAGUAGCGUAGCUAACGCGUGAAAUUGACCGCCUGGGGAGUACGGUCGCAAGAUUA
rnacentral:rRNA from 1 species